AGUUUCACAUACGAAUCAUGAGCC
rnacentral:snRNA from 1 species